CCUACGGGUGGCAGCAGUGGGGAAUAUUGGGCAAUGGGCGCAAGCCUGACCCAGCAACGCCGCGUGAAGGAAGAAGGCCCUCGGGUUGUAAACUUCUUUUGUCAGGGACGAAGAAAGUGACGGUACCUGACGAAUAAGCCACGGCUAACUACGUGCCAGCAGCCGCGGUAAUACGUAGGUGGCAGCGUUAUCCGGAUUUACUGGGUGUAAAGGGCGUGUAGGCGGGACUGCAAGUCAGAUGUGAAAUUCCAGGGCUCAACCCUGGAACUGCAUUUGAAACUGUAGUUCUUGAGUUGGAGAGAAGUAUGCGGAAUGCGCGGUGUAGCGGUGAAAUGCAUAGAUAUCGCGCAGAACUCCGAUUGCGAAGGCAGCAUGCCGGCUCCACACUGACGCUGAGGCACGAAAGCGUGGGUAUCAAACAGGAUUAGAUACCCGGGUAGUC
rnacentral:rRNA from 1 species